rnacentral:rRNA from 1 species
UACGGAGAGUGCAAACGUUGUUCGGAUUCACUGGGCGUAAAGGGCACGUAGGCGGCUCGGCAAAUCGGUCGUGGAAUCCAGACGCUUACCGGCUGAACGGCGGCCGAAAAUACCGGGCUCGAGGGCGUGAGGGGUCACUGGAACUCCUGGUGAAGCGGUGAAAUGCGUAGAUAUCAGGAGGAACGCCGGAGGCGAAAGCGAGUGACUGGCGCGUUCCUGACGCUGAGGUGCGAAAGCUAGGGGAGCAAACAGG